rnacentral:rRNA from 1 species
UACGAAGGGAGCUAGCGUUGUUCGGAAUCACUGGGCGUAAAGCGCACGUAGGCGGAUUUGUCAGUCAGGGGUGAAAUCCCGGGGCUCAACCUCGGAACUGCCUUUGAUACAGCAAGUCUUGAGUUCGAGAGAGGUGGGUGGAAUUCCUAGUGUAGAGGUGAAAUUCGUAGAUAUUAGGAGGAACACCGGUGGCGAAGGCGGGUCUCUGGGCAGUAACUGACGCUGAGGAGCGAAAGCGUGGGGAGCGAACAGG